UACGGAGGGGACUAGCGUUGUUCGGAAUUACUGGGCGUAAAGCGCGCGUAGGCGGUUUUGUAAGUCAGGGGUGAAAUCCCGGGGCUCAACCCCGGAACUGCCUUUGAUACUGCGAAUCUCGAGUCCGGAAGAGGUGAGUGGAAUUCCUAGUGUAGAGGUGAAAUUCGUAGAUAUCGGGAGGAACACCAGUGGCGAAGGCGACUACCUGGCCUGUUCUUGACGCUGAGGCGCGAAAGCUAGGGGAGCAAACGGG
rnacentral:rRNA from 1 species